AUUGAACGCUGGUGGCAGGCUUAACACAUGCAAGUCGAGCGGCAGCAAGCCUUCGGGCGUUGGCGAGCGGCGGACGGGUGAGUAAUGCAUAGGAAUCUGCCUGGUAGUGGGGGAUAGCCCGGGGAAACUCGGAUUAAUACCGCAUACGCCCUACGGGGAAAGGGAGGGGAGUCUUCGGACCUUUCGCUAUCAGAUGAGCCUAUGUCGGAUUAGCUAGUUGGUGAGGUAAAGGCUCACCAAGGCGACGAUCCGUAACUGGUCUGAGAGGAUGAUCAGUCACACUGGAACUGAGACACGGUCCAGACUCCUACGGGAGGCAGCAGUGGGGAAUUUUGGACAAUGGGNGCAAGCCUGAUCCAGCCAUGCCGCGUGAGUGAAGAAGGCCUUCGGUUGUAAGUACUCUUCGGUCCGGGAAGGAAAGUACGCACAGGUUAAUA
rnacentral:rRNA from 1 species